rnacentral:rRNA from 1 species
CCUACGGGUGGCUGCAGUGGGGAAUAUUGCACAAUGGGCGAAACCCUGAUGUAGCGACGCCGCGUGAGUGAAGAAGUCUUUCGGUAUGUAACGUUCUAUCAGCAGGGAAGAAAAUGAUGGUUCUACACUAAGAACCACCUGCUACCUACGUGCCAGCAGCCGCGGUAAUACGUAGGGGGCAAGCGUUAUCCGGAUUUUCUGGGGGUCAAGGGAGCGUAGACGGCUAGACAAGUCAGAAGUGAAAGCCCAGGGAUCAACGCUGGGACUGCGUUUGAAACUGCAGGGAUGGAGUGCAGGAGAGGUAAGCGGAAUGCCGAGUGUAGCGGUGAAAUGCGUAGAUAUUAGGAGGAACACCAGUGGCGAAGGCGGCUUACUGGACUGUAACUGACGUUGAGGCUCGAAAGCGUGGGGAGCAAACAGGAUGAGAUACCCCAGUAGUA